GAUGAACGCUGGCGGCGUGCUUAACACAUGCAAGUCGAGCGAAGCAUUUGCGACAGAUUUUUUCGGAAUGAAGUUGCUUAUGACUGAGUGGCGGACGGGUGAGUAACGCGUGGGUAACCUGCCUUGUACUGGGGGAUAGCAGCUGGAAACGGCUGGUAAUACCGCAUAAGCGCACAAUGUUGCAUGACAUGGUGUGAAAAACUCCGGUGGUAUAAGAUGGACCCGCGUCUGAUUAGCUAGUUGGUGAGAUAACAGCCCACCAAGGCGACGAUCAGUAGCCGACCUGAGAGGGUGACCGGCCACAUUGGGACUGAGACACGGCCCAGACUCCUACGGGAGGCAGCAGUGGGGAAUAUUGCACAAUGGAGGAAACUCUGAUGCAGCGACGCCGCGUGAGUGAAGAAGUAAUUCGUUAUGUAAAGCUCUAUCAGCAGGGAAGAUAGUGACGGUACCUGACGAAGAAGCUCCGGCUAAAUACGUG
rnacentral:rRNA from 1 species